GACGAACGCUGGCGGCGUGCCUAAUACAUGCAAGUCGAGCGGAAUGAUGAAGAAGCUUGCUUCUUCUGAUUUUAGCGGCGGACGGGUGAGUAACACGUGGGCAACCUACCUUGUAGAUUGGGAUAACUCCGGGAAACCGGGGCUAAUACCGAAUAAUCCAUUUUGCUUCAUGGCGAGAUGUUGAAAGACGGUUUCGGCUGUCACUAUAAGAUGGGCCCGCGGCGCAUUAGCUAGUUGGUAGGGUAGUGGCCUACCAAGGCGACGAUGCGUAGCCGACCUGAGAGGGUGAUCGGCCACACUGGGACUGAGACACGGCCCAGACUCCUACGGGAGGCAGCAGUAGGGAAUCUUCCACAAUGGACGAAAGUCUGAUGGAGCAACGCCGCGUGAGUGAAGAAGGUUUUCGGAUCGUAAAACUCUGUUGUAAGGGAAGAACACGUACGAGAGUAACUGCUCGUACCUUGACGGUACCUUAUUAGAAAGCCACGGCUAACUACGUG
rnacentral:rRNA from 1 species